rnacentral:misc_RNA from 1 species
GAAAUGCGAUAAUUAAUGUGAAUUGCAGAAUUCAGUGAAUCAUCGAGUCUUUGAACGCACAUUGCGCCCCCUGGUAUUCCGGGGGGCAUGCCUGUCCGAGCGUCAUUGCUGCCCUCAAGCACGGCUUGUGUGUUGGGCUUCCGUCCCUGGCAACGGGGACGGGCCCAAAAGGCAGUGGCGGCACCAUGUCUGGUCCUCGAGCGUAUGGGGCUUUGUCACCCGCUCCCGUAGGUCCAGCUGGCAGCUAGCCUCGCAACCAAUCUUUUUAACCAGGUUGACCUCGGAUCAGGUAGGGAUACCCGCUGACCUUAAGC